GACGAACGCUGGCGGCGUGCUUAACACAUGCAAGUCGAACGGAAAGGCCCUGCUUUUGUGGGGUGCUCGAGUGGCGAACGGGUGAGUAACACUUGAGUAACCUGCCCUUGACUUUGGGAUAACUUCAGGAAACUGGGGCUAAUACCGGAUAGGAGCUCCUGCUUCAUGGUGGGGGUUGGAAAGUUUCGGCGGUUGGGGAUGGACUCGCGGCUUAUCAGCUUGUUGGUGGGGUAGUGGCUUACCAAGGCUUUGACGGGUAGCCGGCCUGAGAGGGUGACCGGCCACAUUGGGACUGAGAUACGGCCCAGACUCCUACGGGAGGCAGCAGUGGGGAAUAUUGCACAAUGGGCGGAAGCCUGAUGCAGCAACGCCGCGUGCGGGAUGACGGCCUUCGGGUUGUAAACCGCUUUCGCCUGUGACGAAGCGUGAGUGACGGUAAUGGGUAAAGAAGCACCGGCUAACUACGUG
rnacentral:rRNA from 1 species